rnacentral:lncRNA from 1 species
GGAGCUAUGACUCAGCAUGGGAGGAGGACUGGAGGCAGAGAAACCAGCAGGAUCAGAUGUGAGGAUAGAGAUGGAGCAAUCUUCUUGUGAUCAUGAGGAUGAGAACUACAUGCAAAGAAUGGCAGAGGGGACAAGGCACUCUGGACACUGCGGGAACGAAUGAACCAAACCUGGGCUCCCUAUCCCCGGGCUUGGAAAAGCGGAUUGAGUUUCCUAAUCAAAUCAAGGACCUCAUAUGCAAAUUGGUCAAAUAUGCCGUUCACUUGAGUAGCUGCAAAAUAAAGGCAGAUGUGUGUAGGUCAGAG